rnacentral:lncRNA from 1 species
GUUUUUCCCUUACAUCUACCGGGUGUGGGAACUCACCCAGCGCAUCCGACUGCACGGCGAUGGUGCCACAAGCCAGAUCACUGGGACCACUCAGAGAAAGGGAACACAGAAGCCUGGCAUGCCAGCAAAAAGCAGGGUUUUUGUGAGCAGUGUCUUGCACCAAACUCCUGUCUCCUCCUGUGACUUAGAAUGCCUAACUUCCUGGGAAUGCAGCACAGGUCUCAGCCUCAUUUUGCCCAGCCCCUAUUCAAGACGGAUUUGCUGUGGUUCAAAUGCUUCUGACAAUAUUCCUCAUGGUGAAUGCUGGAUUUUGCAUGCCCGAGGCCCUGGGCCACACUGUAUGUUUGCUUUUUGCAAGGGCUGUAUGGCUAUGACUAGUUAUGUGGACCCUGCAUUCCUAUGUAAAUGACCCUCCAUAAAAACCCCAGAAAUGAAUGCUUGAGUGAACUUCCCUGGCUUGUAUUAUAAUACUGUGAACAUCUUGUCACACAUCUUUGCUGGGGGAAUUAAGUGUGUCCCUAUGUGACCGUAAUGGGAGAUAACACCCAGAGUUUUGUGCCUGCUUUCAUGUGGACUUCAUUCUAUGUGAUUUUUCCCUUUGGUGAUCCUGGUCUAUAUCCUUUUAUUGUAAUAAACUAUAACC